AACUUUUAGCAAUGGAUCUCUUGGUUCUCGCAUCGAUGAAGAACGCAGCAAAACGCGAUAUGUAGUGUGAAUUGCAGAAUUUUGUGAAUCAUCGAAUUUUUGAACGCACAUUGCGCCCUUUGGUAUUCCGAAGGGCAUACCUGUUUGAGCGUCAUUUCUUUCUCAUAAACAAUGGUUUUGUGUGUUGUUUUUUAGUCAAGUGAAAAACAUCACAUUAAAUGAAAUGGCAUGUUGGUUGAAAUUGUCAAGCGUUUAGGUUUACCAAUUUCGUGGAAGCAUUUCAACAUACGACGGGCCUGUAUAACCAGACCAAAAAAUUUGACCUCAAAUCAGGCAGGAAUACCCGCUGAACUUAAGCAUAUCAAUAAGCGGAGGCU
rnacentral:misc_RNA from 1 species